rnacentral:rRNA from 1 species
AAUACGUAUGUCCCGAGCGUUAUCCGGAUUUAUUGGGCGUAAAGCGAGCGCAGGCGGUUUCUUAAGUCUGAUGUGAAAGCCCCCGGCUCAACCGGGGAGGGUCAUUGGAAACUGGGAGACUUGAGUGCAGAAGAGGAGAGUGGAAUUCCAUGUGUAGCGGUGAAAUGCGUAGAUAUAUGGAGGAACACCAGUGGCGAAGGCGGCUCUCUGGUCUGUAACUGACGCUGAGGCUCGAAAGCGUGGGGAGCGAACAGGAUUAGAUACCCUGGUAGUCCACGCCGUAAACGAUGAGUGCUAAGUGUUGGAGGGUUUCCGCCCUUCAGUGCUGCAGCAAACGCAUUAAGCACUCCGCCUGGGGAGUACGACCGCAAGGUUGAAACUCAAAGGAAUUGACGGGGGCCCGCACAAGCGGUGGAGCAUGUGGUUUAAUUCGAAGCAACGCGAAGAACCUUACCAGGUCUUGACAUCCUUUGACCACUCUAGAGAUAGAGCUUCCCCUUCGGGGGCAAAGUGACAGGUGGUGCAUGGUUGUCGUCAGCUCGUGUCGUGAGAUGUUGGGUUAAGUCCCGCAACGAGCGCAACCCUUAUUGUUAGUUGCCAUCAUUUAGUUGGGCACUCUAGCGAGACUGCCGGUGACAAACCGGANGAAGGUGGGGAUGACGUCAAAUCAUCAUGCCCCUUAUGACCUGGGCUACACACGUGCUACAAUGGGAAGUACAACGAGUUGCGAAGUCGCGAGGCUAAGCUAAUCUCUUAAAGCUUCUCUCANUUCGGAUUGUAGGCUGCAACUCGCCUACAUGAAGNCNGGAAUCGCUAGUAAUCGCGGAUCAGCACGCCNNNGUGAAUACNNUNCCNGGGCCUNGUACACACCGCCCNU